GACGAACGCUGGCGGCGUGCCUAAUACAUGCAAGUCGAACGCAGUGGGGACGGGUGAGUAACACGUGGGUAACCUCCCAUCAGAGGGGAUAACACUUGGAAACAGGUGCUAAACCGAUACUGAUGGAUGGACCCGGGGUGCAUUAGCUAGUUGGUGAGGUAACGGCUCACCAAGGCCACGAUGCAUAGCCGACCUGGAAGGGGAAACGGCAAAACUGGAACGGGGACACGACCCAAACUCCAACGGGAGGAAGCGGUGGGGAAUCUUCGGCAAUGGAGGAAAGUCUGACCGGGCAACGCCGCGUGAGUGAAGAAGGUUUUCGGAUCGUAAAACUCUGUUGUCAGAGAAGCGGUAUCUAACCAGAAAGCCACGGCUAACUACGUGCCAGCAGCCGCGGUAAUAC
rnacentral:rRNA from 1 species